rnacentral:rRNA from 1 species
GGUUUAAAGGGAGCGUAGGCUGGAUAUUAAGUGUGUUGUGAAAUGUAGACGCUCAACGUCUGACUUGCAGCGCAUACUGGUUUCCUUGAGUACGCACAACGUUGGCGGAAUUCGUCGUGUAGCGGUGAAAUGCUUAGAUAUGACGAAGAACUCCGAUUGCGAAGGCAGCUGACGGGAGCSCAACUGACGCUUAAGCUCGAAGGUGCGGGUAUCAAACAGGAUUAGAUACCCUGGUAGUCCGCACAGUAAACGAUGGAUGCCCGCUGUUGGUACCUGGUAUCAGCGGCUAAGCGAAAGCAUUAAGCAUCCCACCUGGGGAGUACGCCGGCAACGGUGAAACUCAAAGGAAUUGACGGGGGCCCGCACAAGCGGAGGAACAUGUGGUUUAAUUCGAUGAUACGCGAGSAACCUUMCCCGGGCUUGAAUUGCAGAGGAAGGAUUUAGAGAUA